UACGGGGGGGGCAAGCGUUGUUCGGAAUUAUUGGGCGUAAAGGGCCCGUAGGCGGUUCGGUAAGUCGGAUGUGAAAUUCCUCGGCUCAACCGAGGAAGGGCAUCCGAAACUGCCGGGCUUGAGUACGGAAGAGGGUCUCGGAAUUCCCGGUGUAGAGGUGAAAUUCGUAGAUAUCGGGAGGAACACCAGUGGCGAAGGCGGAGACCUGGGCCGAUACUGACGCUGAGGUGCGAAAGCGUGGGGAGCAAACAGG
rnacentral:rRNA from 1 species